AUUGAACGCUGGCGGCAGGCCUAACACAUGCAAGUCGAACGAGUGGCGGACGGGUGAGUAAUGUCUGGGAAACUGCAUGAUGGAGGGGGAUAACUAAUGGAAACGGUAGCUAAUACCGCAUACCAUCGGAUGUGCCCCGAUGGGAUGAGCCAGGAGGUGGGGGAAAGGCUCACGUAGGCGACGAUCCCUAGCUGGGCUGAGAGGAUGACCAGCCACACUGGAACUGAGACACGGUCCAGAGUCCUACGGGAGGCAGCAGUGGGGAAUAGUGCACAAUGGGCGCAAGCCUGAUGCAGCCAUGCCGAGUGUAUGAAGAAGGCCUUCGGGUUGUAAAGUACGUUCAGCGGGGAGGCGGUACCCGCAGAAGAAGCACCGGCUAACUCCGUGCCAGCAGCCGCGGUAAUUC
rnacentral:rRNA from 1 species